rnacentral:rRNA from 1 species
AUGCAAGUAGAACGCUGAAGGAGGAGCUUGCUUCUCCGGAUGAGUUGCGAACGGGUGAGUAACGCGUAGGUAACCUGCCUGGUAGCGGGGGAUAACUAUUGGAAACGAUAGCUAAUACCGCAUAAGAGUAGAUGUUGCAUGACAUUUGCUUAAAAGGUGCAAUUGCAUCACUACCAGAUGGACCUGCGUUGUAUUAGCUAGUUGGUGGGGUAACGGCUCACCAAGGCGACGAUACAUAGCCGACCUGAGAGGGUGAUCGGCCACACUGGGACUGAGACACGGCCCAGACUCCUACGGGAGGCAGCAGUAGGGAAUCUUCGGCAAUGGACGGAAGUCUGACCGAGCAACGCCGCGUGAGUGAAGAAGGUUUUCGGAUCGUAAAGCUCUGUUGUAAGAGAAGAACGAGUGUGAGAGUGGAAAGUUCACACUGUGACGGUAUCUUACCAGAAAGGGACGGCUAACUACGUGCCAGCAGCCGCGGUAAUACGUAGGUCCCGAGCGUUGUCCGGAUUUAUUGGGCGUAAAGCGAGCGCAGGCGGUUAGAUAAGUCUGAAGUUAAAGGCUGUGGCUUAACCAUAGUACGCUUUGGAAACUGUUUAACUUGAGUGCAAGAGGGGAGAGUGGAAUUCCAUGUGUAGCCGGUGAAAUGCGUAGAUAUAUGGAGGAACACCGGUGGCGAAAGCGGCU